rnacentral:rRNA from 1 species
UUACUGGCUCAGAACGAACGGCUGGCAGCGUGGAUUAGGCAUGCAAGUCGAACGGGAUCCGGUAGGCAGCAAUGUCGGCCGGUGAGAGUGGCGGAAGGGCGAGGAACACGUGGGCAACCUGUCUUGAGGUGGGGAAAACCGCUGGAAACGGCGGCUAAUACCGAAUGUAGCGCCCGCUCGCAUGAGCGGAGCGCCAAAGGGGGCGAAAGCUCCCCCUCUUCGAGGGCCCGCGCACCAUCAGCUUGUUGGCGGGUAACGGCCACAAGGCUCACGGUUAGCUGGUCUGAGAGGAUGGCCAGCCGCACUGGGACUGAGAUACUGCCCAGACUCCUACGGGAGGCUGCAGUCGAGGAUCAUUUGCAAUGGGCGAAAGCCUGACAAUGCGACGCUGCGUGGAGGAUGAAGGCCCUCGGGUUGUAAACUCCUGUCAUGGGGGAAAAGGAAACCCUGCCCAAUACGCAGGGAAUUUGAUGGUACCCCAAGAGGAAGCGACGGCUAACUCUGUGCCAGCAGCCGC